CGGGCUGUAGUAUAACGGCAGUAUACACCCUUGGGGUGGGUGCGAUCCGGGUUCAAUUCCCGGCAGCCCGACAA
rnacentral:tRNA from 1 species